GCCCCUACGACAGAGCCAUUGACAAGCACGGGCCAUAAAUGGCCGAGUUGAAGGGCAUGUUAAACACUGCAUUCUGAACAAAACACCACAGUAUCUGGAGCACAGCCAAAAUGCCAGGCACAAAAGGUAACAAGUCAGACAAGAAGUCAACUACCAAGCAACCUCAGAGUCCUAAAGAACAGCCGAAGAAAGGUGAUCAGAAAGGAGAUGAUAACAAGAAGCAAGGAGGACAGCCGAAGGGAGAGAAGCAAUAACUUCCAGGCAUUCGUGAAGAUGGCUUUAGAAACACUGCUGGGGUCCUGCCGUCGUAAACAUGGGGGUCCUCGAGGCAGACAGGGUUGAGUGCACGUCCCCUCAGCACAUUCCUCCUGAGCCUGCACUUCCCUCCUGACUCGGCUUGGCCUUCCUUCACAACAUCUGCUUACCUCACACUGAGGGAGCAAUGAAGCUGAUCUUCAUUCAUCACCAUCUGUUGUUCAACCUCUGUCCCCCCAUCUGCACUCCUCUCCUGUCCCCCUCUUCCAGCUUACCAGAAAAUAGCUGGGGAAAGGCAACACCGGAACACUUGUUUUUGAGCAGAAAAUACAGUUUGUCAGCCCUUUUUCGCAUUUUUUCCCCCAAACUCACACUGAGAAUUGACUGUCUGACAGUCCACACAUUGUUAUUGUAAAUAAUGAUUCAAAUAAACACAUAUUUCUUACAGCA